rnacentral:rRNA from 1 species
CCAUGGGCAGGUUGAAGGUUGGGUAACACUAACUGGAGGACCGAACCGACUAAUGUUGAAAAAUUAGCGGAUGACCUGUGGCUGGGGGUGAAAGGCCAAUCAAACCGGGAGAUAGCUGGUUCUCCCCGAAAGCUAUUUAGGUAGCGCCUCGUGAAUUCAUCUCCGGGGGUAGAGCACUGUUUCGGCUAGGGGGCCAUCCCGGCUUACCAACCCGAUGCAAACUGCGAAUACCGGAGAAUGUUAUCACGGGAGACACACGGCGGGUGCUAACGUCCGUCGUGAAGAGGGAAACAACCCAGACCGCCAGCUAAGGUCCCAAAGUCAUGGUUAAGUGGGAAACGAUGUGGGAAGGCCCAGACAGCCAGGAUGUUGGCUUAGAAGCAGCCAUCAUUUAAAGAAAGCGUAAUAGCUCACUGGUCGAGUCGGCCUGCGCGGAAGAUGUAACGGGGCUAAACCAUGCACCGAAGCUGCGGCAGCGACGCUGAUGCGUUGUUGGGUAGGGGAGCGUUCUGUAAGCCUGCGAAGGUGGCCUGUGAGGGUUGCUGGAGGUAUCAGAAGUGCGAAUGCUGACAUAAGUAACGAUAAAGCGGGUGAAAAGCCCGCUCGCCGGAAGACCAAGGGUUCCUGUCCAACGUUAAUCGGGGCAGGGUGAGUCGACCCCUAAGGCGAGGCCGAAAGGCGUAGUCGAUGGGAAACGGGUUAAUAUUCCCGUACUUGGUGUUACUGCGAAGGGGGGACGGAGAAGGCUAUGUUGGCCGGGCGACGGUUGUCCCGGUUUAAGCGUGUAGGUGUGUGUUCCAGGUAAAUCCGGUUCACUUUAACACUGAGGCGUGAUGACGAGGCACUACGGUGCUGAAGCAACAAAUGCCCUGCUUCCAGGAAAAGCCUCUAAGCAUCAGGUAACAUCAAAUCGUACCCCAAACCGACACAGGUGGUCAGGUAGAGAAUACCAAGGCGCUUGAGAGAACUCGGGUGAAGGAACUAGGCAAAAUGGUGCCGUAACUUCGGGAGAAGGCACGCUGACACGUAGGUGAAGUGAUUUACUCAUGGAGCUGAAGUCAGUCGAAGAUACCAGCUGGCUGCAACUGUUUAUUAAAAACACAGCACUGUGCAAACACGAAAGUGGACGUAUACGGUGUGACGCCUGCCCGGUGCCGGAAGGUUAAUUGAUGGGGUCAGCGCAAGCGAAGCUCCUGAUCGAAGCCCCGGUAAACGGCGGCCGUAACUAUAACGGUCCUAAGGUAGCGAAAUUCCUUGUCGGGUAAGUUCCGACCUGCACGAAUGGCGUAAUGAUGGCCAGGCUGUCUCCACCCGAGACUCAGUGAAAUUGAACUCGCUGUGAAGAUGCAGUGUACCCGCGGCAAGACGGAAAGACCCCGUGAACCUUUACUAUAGCUUGACACUGAACAUUGAGCCUUGAUGUGUAGGAUAGGUGGGAGGCUUUGAAGUGUGGACGCCAGUCUGCAUGGAGCCGACCUUGAAAUACCACCCUUUAAUGUUUGAUGUUCUAACGUGGACCCGUGAUCCGGGUUGCGGACAGUGUCUGGUGGGUAGUUUGACUGGGGCGGUCUCCUCCUAAAGAGUAACGGAGGAGCACGAAGGUUGGCUAAUCCUGGUCGGACAUCAGGAGGUUAGUGCAAUGGCAUAAGCCAGCUUGACUGCGAGCGUGACGGCGCGAGCAGGUGCGAAAGCAGGUCAUAGUGAUCCGGUGGUUCUGAAUGGAAGGGCCAUCGCUCAACGGAUAAAAGGUACUCCGGGGAUAACAGGCUGAUACCGCCCAAGAGUUCAUAUCGACGGCGGUGUUUGGCACCUCGAUGUCGGCUCAUCACAUCCUGGGGCUGAAGUAGGUCCCAAGGGUAUGGCUGUUCGCCAUUUAAAGUGGUACGCGAGCUGGGUUUAGAACGUCGUGAGACAGUUCGGUCCCUAUCUGCCGUGGGCGCUGGAGAACUGAGGGGGGCUGCUCCUAGUACGAGAGGACCGGAGUGGACGCAUCACUGGUGUUCGGGUUGUCAUGCCAAUGGCACUGCCCGGUAGCUAAAUGCGGAAGAGAUAAGUGCUGAAAGCAUCUAAGCACGAAACUUGCCCCGA